CGCUGGCGGCGUGCCUAACACAUGCAAGUCGAGCGGCAGCGAGGGGUGCUUGCACCCUGUCGGCGAGCGGCGGACGGCUGAGUAACGCGUGGGAACGUGCCCCAAAGUGAGGAAUAACUGCCCGAAAGGGUAGCUAAUACCGCAUAUUAUCUUCGGAUCAAAGGAUUUAUCCGCUUUGGGAGCGGCUCGCGUCGGAUUAGGUAGUUGGUGAGGUAAUGGCUCACCAAGCCGACGAUCCGUAGCUGGUCUGAGAGGAUGACCAGCCAGACUGGAACUGAGACACGGUCCAGACUCCUACGGGAGGCAGCAGUGAGGAAUCUUCCACAAUGGGCGAAAGCCUGAUGGAGCAACGCCGCGUGCAGGACGAAGGCCUUCGGGUUGUAAACUGCUUUUAUAAGUGAGGAAUAUGACGGUAACUUAUGAAUAAGGAUCGGCUAACUACGUG
rnacentral:rRNA from 1 species